rnacentral:tRNA from 1 species
UGGGAUGUAGCUCAGUGAUUCAGCACUUGUCUAGCAUGCAUGAUGCCAUGGGUUCAAUCCCCAACACCACAA